GCUCACUUCGGCAGCUUAUACUAAACUGGAACGGUACACAGGAGACUGGCAUGGCCCCUGCGCAAGGAUGACACGCGAAUUCUUGAGGCGUUCCUUAUUACC